rnacentral:snRNA from 1 species
GCAUGUGAGGGUUGUCUGGCUGUGACAUCGGUCACCUCAUUGAUUGUCAGGGUUGAUUUGGACAAUCUGGCUGACUAGGUGGUUGUCCCUCUCUCUCCCUCACUGUUCCAUGCAUCCCUUCUGAAGCUGCACGCUCUGUCAAAGAGGACCACCUUCCUCAGUAGAGGAGGACUAUUCUUUGGUCAAGGCUACAUGAGUAGUUGUGCUGUCUUGCUGGAACUAAAUAAGCUCUCACGGUCCAUUUGUAGGAGAAUGCAGGGUAGUCAAGUUUCUGGGACUCCAGACACAUCCAAAUGAGGUGCUGCAUGUAGCAGUUUGCCUUUCUUA